CCUACGGGUGGCAGCAGUGAGGAAUAUUGGUCAAUGGGCGAGAGCCUGAACCAGCCAAGUCGCGUGAGGGAGUACUGCCCUAUGGGUUGUAAACCUCUUUUGUCGGGGAGCAAAAGCCGGACGUGUCCGGCUGUGAGAGUACCCGAAGAAAAAGCAUCGGCUAACUCCGUGCCAGCAGCCGCGGUAAGACGGGGGAUGCGAGCGUUAUCCGGAUUUAUUGGGUUUAAAGGGUUCGCAGGCGGAUUUUUAAGUCAGCGGUAAAAUCGUGGGGCUCAACCCCAUCCAGCCGUUGAAACUGGGGAUCUAGAGUGUGCGAGAGGUAUGCGGAAUGCGUGGUGUAGCGGUGAAAUGCAUAGAUAUCACGCAGAACCCCGAUUGCGAAGGCAGCAUACCGGUGCACAACUGACGCUCAGGCACGAAAGCGUGGGUAUCGAACAGGAUUAGAUACCCCAGUAGUC
rnacentral:rRNA from 1 species